rnacentral:sRNA from 20 species
GUCAAUCACCAUCGGACAAGUCCGGUGGCCUGUCCGCGAGGACAAGAUAUUCCGCAAGGAGAAUGAUUGAUUAGGAGGCAUUGAAAGAUGCAGAGGUUAGAAGAAAGAGAUACAUACACACCACCGAAUGCUUCACAAGUUCGGUGCAACUGUG